GGAAAGCAAGGCUCCGGGCGGGGGCGGGGCGCCCGGGGCCCCCAGGUGCCCCCAGGUGCGGAGAGGUACCCAUCACUGAAGCUGCGGGGCCAGGCCGAAGACAAAGCUGGUGUUGCUCCGCUAGGGUUCCCAGAACUUCCGAACACGUUUCUUUGUUCUAGUACCUGGCUGUCAAGUGUGGAUUAAAUGCUGCCUACUUCGUCAGAGUUGGUGAAGCCCCACCGACUACCCGGAGCUCCUUUAGGGCAGGCGGUGCCCGAGUCCUUUAGAGUCUCGGGGCCGGACUGUAGUGGAUGUUCCAUAAAUGUUUGUGAACAUCUGGGGCGCCGUGUCCCGUGGGGGCCCUCGACGUGGGGGACAGCGACAACGAAGCCUCUUUCAGACCUCACUCCAAAUGAUCACCGGGAGACGUGAGGGGUGUUUAGCUCAGAGAAGAGGUAGCAAAAGGCUGGGGACCCCGGGCCCUUUCAGCGUGCAGGCAGCAAAACCUGUCAUGUGACAGCUGCUACGGGAGCUCUUCCCCAUCCUGCACUUUUGAGGUUGACUUUAAAACUUGUAUAUAUUUAUUUCCUGGGAAAGUUAGUGUAAUAAAUAAUAGGAAACUGCAAGGAAGAGUGACGUUCCCUCCAAAAUCUUGGAAAUAAGGUGAGCAAAUAAACUGAGCCUCCGUAGAACCAAAUGAAGACUGUCAGCAAAAUGUGUCUCAUACUGAAAAGAACAGUUCAAACCAGUCCUGUGAUUUGGAUGCCUAAGUCCAAGAGGGCUUAUUUGGAAUGUGACUCUGAUUAAGAACGCUUCAAUCUAAUUAAUUGACAGCCUGAAGAUAAUGUGGGCGACGGGCAACCUGGGACCUGGAAAGAGUCACCAGGCAGCAAGAGUCCUAGUGGGCAUAAGUAUUUCAGUAACUAGAGAUUUGCGUUCUCAUGAGGUUCUGGUCUCUCCAGGACCCAGAGGAAAUAUCCCUUAGCUCCUAUUCCAUAUUCAUUAUGCAAUCUUCUGAUUGUUAUUUGGUUUCUGAAUGGAUUUUCCUUUAAGAGAGAAUGCUCAUAACUAUUCCUGUCCACUCGGUGGUUAUAUUGGUUUAUGCAUUCACCUCUUGUGAGGUUGGUUCCCUUGAAUCAAAUCAGUCACCAGGAAUGGUGAUCAUACCAAGCUGCUGAGUUUGCAAAGCUGAGGCCCAGACUCUAGGCUGUGGUUACCCGGCUCACUUCAUCCCAACAGUCCCUCUCCUGGAGCAGCCUACCAUUCUGGAGGGCACUGCUCACGUGGCCAGCAAGCGUUCUUGGACUUCUCACCUUCUGUUUUGUGUAACUGCAGCAGAUAACAGGGUGGAGCAGAGAGUUGGGCCUGGGCGAGGCCUAGGACUUCACCUUUGGCCAGAGAAGGAAGCCGCCCCCAUGCCCCCCACACCCCCAGAAAAUAUCCCUAUCCAUCUUGGAAGAAAAGAGCGUAGUGAGUCUUCAAGAAGUCUGCAGAGCUGAACGGAAGACAUGUGUCCAGCCUGUGGUCUGUCUCCGAGCUCUCCUCUGUCCACUUCUGCCCAUCCCAAGCGCGCGGGGCCAGGCCGGCGGCUUGCUUCAGAGACAAAGUCUGCUACUCCAGAGAAACUUCCAGGCUCCCUGAAAAGGAGAAAGCCGGUGUGGUCGUAUACUGAGCGUGAGCAGACUGAGUGCUUACGGCGUCCGACGCUCUGCCACACGCUCUGUGUGCGUCACCUUGUGUGAUAUAUUUAAUACCUUCGUAACCCUGUGCAGGAUGUUUUUUUCUCAAGGGUCUGCGAGCUGGCACCCGGAGCCCGGGUUCUAGGAGCAAGAGGCUUUGGACCGAGUCACGUCAGAAGAGCCAGCUGUUUGGCAUCGUGGGACCGAAGCCGAGAACAUGCUGGGCUUCUGUGCAGAAACCUUUGGUUAGGAGGCCGGGAGUCCUGCCUGGAAGUAUGGAAGCUCUGGCUUUGUUUUCUGAGUUUAGAACCAGGGGGAGGAGACGGCUGCUGAAACCAGGUGGCCCGGGGCUGAGCGACUCCGCUUUGGGAGGAGAAGGAAGAGUCGCUGGGGGCUGGAAAGAGCUGCUUUCAGCUGGCGGGGUCGAGAGGUUGGCUGGGGUGGCUCCAGAGAUCAUGCCUCUUCUGGGCGGAAGUGAGAGCAAAGGCCGACAGACGUGAGGGGCUGGGGGUAGACAAUUCUGCCCACGCGCCCUGGAGCCCCCAGGCCAGCCCAAGGCCUCGGCGUGCCCACUGGGGGCCACCUGACCCUCCCCACGAGAUUAGUGUGUCUCCCUCGGGCUCUAGGCAGUUGCUUCUUGCUCUCCUGUUUCACCUUGCCUUCUAGUACGUGGAGUUGUUUUUUACCUCAAUAGAUGACACAUUUAAAAGAGAAUGACCGCACUGUAAUUAUUCUUGCAUCUCUCUCCCUAUAGUGCCUGGCCGGGUGGGAUAUAAACACAGCACCCUUGAAUGAAUGAAUGAGUGAAUGAUGAGAACGAGGGGAGGAGAUGAGUGUGCAAACACAUGUGUGUGCAUGCCUGUAUGCGUGGUUUCUGCUGAAGGACAGACGGAAAGACAAAGAUGAGCGAGGAGGUGGGGCGUGGAGAACAGAGCCUGGGCCAGGAGAAGAAGUGAGUGAUUAUGACGCCUACAGACAGGGCUUGUGUGCUCAGUGCCCGUCAGGCGUAUCAACCGCGUGGCUCACGUGUAACGCUCACAACCAUUCUCCGAGCCUGGCCCCAGCGCUGUCCUUAUUUUAUAGAUGGUGAAGCUGGGUCUCAGGGAAGGAGGUGGCUGGGCCAGAAUCGCACGUCGGCUGAGCAGGGAGCCCAGGACCUAAGCAGGUCGGCCGCCCGGGGAGCCCGAGCUUGAACCGUGGAACCAGCCUCCCUGUUUUGCUCCCCGCGGCCCCUGCACUUUUCUUUGGAGGCGUUUU